rnacentral:rRNA from 1 species
GACGAACGCUGGCGGCGUGCUUAACACAUGCAAGUCGAACGAAGUGGCGAACGGGUGAGUAACGCGUAAUCAACCUGCCCUUCAGAGGGGGACAACAGUUGGAAACGACUGCUAAUACCGCAUACUGAAGGAGGGGAUUGCGUCUGAUUAGCUAGUUGGAGGGGUAACGGCCCACCAAGGCGAUGACGGGUAGCCGGCCUGAGAGGGUGACCGGCCACAGUGGGACUGAGAUACGGCCCAGCCUCCUACGGGGGGCAGCAGUGGGGGAUAUUGCACAAUGGGCGAAAGCCUGAUGCAGCGACGCCGCGUGGGGGAUGAAGGCUUUCGGGUUGUAAACCUCUGUCGCUAUCGAACGGGUAGGUGGAGAAGAAGCGCCGGCUAACUACGUGCCAGCAGCCGCGGUAAUAC